CCGGAUUUGAACUCAGUCAACCCGUCAGACGACAAGUGGUAAAUUCUGUGGCCGAAUGAGGCUGAGACUGUGAUGUUGGCUCAGAUCUCCGAGUGCUGCAGGUCAGCCUCUCUUUUCACCGCUGAUCAACACUUCAGCUCCCCGUCCGCCUCUUUCCUGCUAUUUAUGGACUCACCAAGGAUGCUGCAAGGCCUGGUCACAAUUGAACCUCUUCGCUGGAUCCUUCUGGACUCAUAAACGGCAUUGAUGUCAUCUUUUUUCCGAAAAUC